rnacentral:rRNA from 1 species
AUUGAACGCUGGCGGCAUGCUUUACACAUGCAAGUCGGACGAGUGGCGAAAGGGUGAGUAAUGCAUCGGAACGUAACGAGUAAUGGGGGAUAACUGUCCGAACGGACAGCUAAUACCGCAUAUUGUUCAAGCGGCCGAUGUCGGAUUAGCUGGUUGGCGGGGUAAAGGCCAACCAAGGCGACGCGCAGUAGGGGGUCUGAGAGGAUGAUCCGCCACACUGGGACUGAGACACGGCCCAGACUCCUACGGGAGGCAGCAGUGGGGAAUUUUGGACAAUGGGCGCAAGCCUGAUCCAGCCAUGCCGCGUGUCUGAAGAAGGCCUUCGGGUUGUAAAGGACUUUUGUCAGGGAAGCGGUACCUGAAGAAUAAGCACCGGCUAACUACGUGCCAGCCGCCGCGGUAAUUC